rnacentral:rRNA from 1 species
UGGGGAAUAUUGCGCAAUGGGGGGAACCCUGACGCAGCAACGCCGCGUGAAUGAAGAAGGCCUUCGGGUUGUAAAAUUCUGUCAAGAGGGAAGAAGACUCUUGCUUUAAUAGAGUAAGAGAUGACAGUACCGAUAGAGGAAGCUCCGGCUAACUACGUGCCAGCAGCCGCGGUAAUACGUAGGGAGCAAGCGUUGUCCGGAAUUACUGGGCGUAAAGGGCGUGUAGGCGGCUAAGUAAGUUGAAAGUGAAACCCAUGGGCUCAACCCAUGGCCUGCUUUCAAAACUGCAUAGCUUGAGGAUAAGAGAGGAAAGUGGAAUUCCUAGUGUAGCGGUGAAAUGCGUAGAUAUUAGGAGGAACACCAGUGGCGAAGGCGACUUUCUGGCUUAUCACUGACGCUGAGGCGCGAAAGCGUGGGGAGCAAACAGG